rnacentral:rRNA from 1 species
UACGGAGGGAGCUAGCGUUGUUCGGAAUUACUGGGCGUAAAGCGCGCGUAGGCGGCUUUGUAAGUUAGAGGUGAAAGCCCGGGGCUCAACUCCGGAACUGCCUUUAAGACUGCAUCGCUUGAAUCCGGGAGAGGUGAGUGGAAUUCCGAGUGUAGAGGUGAAAUUCGUAGAUAUUCGCAAGAACACCAGUGGCGAAGGCGGCUCACUGGCCCGGUACUGACGCUGAGGUGCGAAAGCGUGGGGAGCAAACAGG